ACGGAAGGCAGCAGUGGGGGAUAUUGCACAAUGGGGGAAACCCUGAUGCAGCGACGCCGCGUGAGUGAUGAAGUAUUUCGGUAUGUAAAGCUCUAUCAGCAGGGAAGAAAAUGUCGGUACCUGACUAAGAAGCACCGGCUAAAUACGUGCCAGCAGCCGCGGUAAUACGUAUGGUGCAAGCGUUAUCCGGAUUUACUGGGUGUAAAGGGAGCGUAGACGGCAUAGCAAGCCAGAUGUGAAAUGCGGGGGCUCAACCCCUGAACUGCAUUUGGAACUGUUAAGCUAGAGUAUCGGAGAGGUAAGUGGAAUUCCUAGUGUAGCGGUGAAAUGCGUAGAUAUUAGGAGGAACACCAGUGGCGAAGGCGACAUACUGGACUGUAACUGACGUUGAGGCUCGAAGGCGUGGGGAGCAAACAGGAUUAGAUACCCUGGUA
rnacentral:rRNA from 1 species